rnacentral:rRNA from 1 species
GGGGAAGCUACUUCGGUAUUGAAUUAGCGGCGAACGGGUGAGGAACACGUGAGGAAUCUGGCUUCAACACGGGGAUAACUCCGGGAAACCGGGGCUAAUACCGGAUAUGAGCUCUGAUCGCAUGGUCGGGGCUGGAAAGUCUUUCGGUGGAAGAUGACCUCGCGGCCUAUCUUCUUGUUGGUGAGGGGGUGGCUCACCAAUGCUACNACCUCUANCCAGCCUGAGAGGACUACCAGCCACACUGGAACUGAGAGACUGUCCAGACUCCUACGGGAGGCAGCAGUGGGGAAGUUUGGACAAUGGGCGCAAGCCUGAUCCAGCCAUUCCGCGUGCAGGAUGAAGGCCCUCGGGUUGUAAACUGCUGUUGUACAGAACGAAAAGGUUUCUAGUAAUACUAGGAGCUCAUGACGGUACUGUAAGAAUAAGCACCGGCUAACUACGUGCCAGCAGCCCCGGUAAUACGUAGGGUGCAAGCGUUAAUCGGAAUUACUGGGCGUAAAGCGUGCGCAGCCGGUUAUAUAAGUCAGAUGUGAAAUCCCCGGGCUCAACCUGGGAACUGCAUUUGAGACUGUAUAGCUAGAGUACGGCAGAGGGGGAUGGAAUUCCGCGUGUAGCAGUGAAAUGCGUAGAUAUGCGGAGGAACACCGAUGGCGAAGGCAAUCCUCUGGGCCUGUACUGACGUUCAUGCACGAAAGCGUGGGGAGCAAACAGGAUUAGAUACCCUGGUAGUCCACGCCCUAAACGAUGUCAACUGGUUGUUGGGUCUUAAUUGACUCAGUAACGAAGCUAACGCGUGAAG